ACGAACGCUGGCGGCAGGCCUAACACAUGCAAGUCGAGCGAGGACUUCGGUUCUAGCGGCGGACGGGUGAGUAACGCGUGGGAAUGUGCCCUUCUCUACGGAAUAGCCCUGGGAAACUGGGAGUAAUACCGUAUACGCCCUAUUGGGGAAAGAUUUAUCGGAGAAGGAUCAGCCCGCGUUGGAUUAGGUAGUUGGUGGGGUAAUGGCCUACCAAGCCGACGAUCCAUAGCUGGUUUGAGAGGAUGAUCAGCCACACUGGGACUGAGACACGGCCCAGACUCCUACGGGAGGCAGCAGUGGGGAAUCUUAGACAAUGGGGGCAACCCUGAUCUAGCCAUGCCGCGUGAGUGAUGAAGGCCUUAGGGUUGUAAAGCUCUUUCAGCUUGGAAGAUAAUGACGGUACCAGCAGAAGAAGCCCCGGCUAACUCCGU
rnacentral:rRNA from 1 species